rnacentral:tRNA from 1 species
AGAGAAGUACCCAAGCGGCUGUAAGGGGCUCCCCUGCUAAGGGAGUAGGCCGGGAUACCGGUGCGAGGGUUCGAAUCCCUUCUUCUCUGCCA